CAGUCGCCGCGGGAAUACGUAGGGCGCAAGCGUUGUCCGGAAUUAUUGGGCGUAAAGAGCUCGUAGGCGGUCUGUCGCGUCUGGUGUGAAAUCCCGAGGCUCAACCUCGGGCUUGCAUCGGGUACGGGCAGACUAGAGUGCGGUAGGGGAGACUGGAAUUCCUGGUGUAGCGGUGGAAUGCGCAGAUAUCAGGAGGAACACCGAUGGCGAAGGCAGGUCUCUGGGCCGCAACUGACGCUGAGGAGCGAAAGCAUGGGGAGCGAACAGGAUUAGAUACCCGGGUAGUCCCUGUCUCUUAUCA
rnacentral:rRNA from 1 species